CACGUAGGGGGCAAGCGUUGUCCGGAUUUAUUGGGCGUAAAGAGCUCGUAGGCGGCUCAGUAAGUCAGGUGUGAAACCUCCAGGCUCAACCUGGAGACGCCACCUGAUACUGCUGUGGCUAGAGUCCGGUAGGGGAGCGUGGAAUUCCUGGUGUAGCGGUGAAAUGCGCAGACAUCAGGAGGAACACCAGCGGCGAAGGCGGCGCUCUGGGCCGGAACUGACGCUGAGGAGCGAAAGCGUGGGUAGCAAACAGG
rnacentral:rRNA from 1 species